ACUAACUUUUUAAAAUACGUGACACCAUCACCAUCGUGCUAACAACGCUGUACCUGAAGCACCUGUAGACACCUCCUUCCUCGCUAUGUACACUUUACACAGCUUUCUCCAGGUCCUGUUAAACCUCUUGUUGCCCUGCGGUGGAAAAUCGACUGAUUUCAUCUCAAGGUCUUAUCAAAUCUCCUGCUCCUCGCACCAGUGCAGCCGUUACAUGAUGAAUGGCCAGUGAUUUCCUCUACAAGGUCAUCCUGACACUUCCAAACAUCCGUUUGCAAUGUGUGUGUGUGUGUGUGGUUCCCAGGGAAACAGAGAUGGCAUUUGUUUGCAGGCCAAAUGAAACAUCAGCAUUAUGGAAGAUAAGGAGAAAGAGAGACAGAGAUGGAUGUCUGAGGUGGCUUCAUUACUCAUAAUUGUUGAGCUAUCCUGAAGCCAGAUGUGUCACAGGCGCUGUCCAGAGUGCUGAAGCUGGAGAUGCCGUCAUACACUGGAAGCACUCUGAUAGUUAGCUGCAUUGCUUUGGUU